GUUGAGGAGUACAUGAAGGAAAGAGCAUGUCAAAAAGAAGAGCCAGACAGACACCAAGUGUUCAGAUCCUGACUCAACCUUCUACAGACCAAGAAGCAAGCGAGAGAUCCACUUCAUCCUUCCAACAGACACCAAGUGUUCAGAUCCUGACUCAACCUUCUACAGACCAAGAAGCAAGCGAGAGAUCCACUUCAUCCUUCCAACAGACACCAAGUGUUCAGAUCCUGACUCAACCUUCUACAGACUAAGAAGCAAGCGAGAGAUCCACUUCAUCCUUCCAACAGACACCAAGUGUUCAGAUCCUGACUCAACCUUCUACAGACUAAGAAGCAAGCGAGAGAUCCACUUCAUCCUUCCAACAGACACCAAGUGUUCAGAUCCUGACUCAACCUUCUGCAGACCAAGAAGUGAGCAAGAGAUCCACUUCAUCCUUCCAACAGACACCAAGUGUUCAGAUCCUGACUCAACUUUCUGCAGACCAAGAAGUGAGCAUGAGAUCCACUUCAUCCUUCCAACAGACACCAAGUGUUCAGAUCCUGACUCAACCUUCUGUAGACCAAGAAGCGAGCGAGAGAUCCACUUCAUCCUUCCAACAGACACCAAGUGUUCAGAUCCUGACUCAACUUUCUGCAGACCAAGAAGUGAGCAUGAGAUCCACUUCAUCCUUCCAACAGACACCAAGUGUUCAGAUCCUGACUCAACCUUCUGUAGACCAAGAAGCGAGCGAGAGAUCCACUUCAUCCUUCCAACAGACAUCAAGCGUUCAGAUCCUUACUCAACUUUCUGCAGACCAAGAUAUGAGCAAGAGAUCCACUUCAUCUUUCCAACAGGUCAGCCAGACCACUGGAGGUGUCUCCUUCCACCAGACAGCUACUGCAAGGUUGAACAUCCCUUGGUCGAUGAUGGUGGAUUUCAUGAUGGAAACUCUGCAAGCUUAAGUGACCAGAUCUCUACUGAUGAAUCUUCAGAUUGUACAGAUUAUGAAGAUAUUGACUAUGUUCCAGACUCAGGUGGCAAUUCCUCAGACACAAGUCUCUGUAGUAACGAACUGAGAAUCACAGAAUCUCUUGCUCCCAAAAAUUGUUCAAGGACAUGCCAGUGGGGAUAGCUACAGUACACAGUGGGGAGAGAAACCUACAAGUUUAAGUUUGUCACUGAGAAGCAGCAGUCAUAGCACUUCAGUGAUGAGUUGCAGUAACAAUUCCCUGGAGGCAAGAUUUCUGUAUUUUCUGUUCUGUUUCAAUUGACAUAUUUUGCCAGCAAUUAAAAAAGAAAAAAUGGCAGAAAGUGUUCCAUGUCUUUAUUCACAUGAACAUGUACUACAAAAUUUAUAAAUGCAAUACAAUAAGACUUAAAAAGCAGACUGACCACAUUUUUUAGCUAUGUCUCAUUUUAAGUCUCUACAAAGCUUAGUUUUACUGUGUUGUAUUAACAUGUGAAUAUCUGACAUUUCUGUCAGAGGUUACCUGACUGAUGAGCAUGACUAUUGUACACCUGUGUCUAUUAUAUAGGUAUUUCAAACAUAUCCAACAGGAGCCAAGGUAAUAAUACAGACCCUACCCUUUCCUAGUCUUUAUAAGUCAUGUAUACAUGAAAAUUUUGUGUGUAUCCAUGGGUUUCACAAUUCACCUAAACAUGAAAUAUCAGUGUGUGAUUUUAUUGCACCUAUAAGUCACAUAAACCUGACAGUGUCCUCACAAGUAGCAUUAAAAUCAGGUUUGACCAAAAGUUUGCCCUAGCCAAAAUCUCAACAGAUGGGCAUAUUCCUGGAAGCAUGGGGAAGAAACACUUUGAUUCCCCAGCCUCUAGGACCUUGGGAAAGGCAUGUUCCCAUUUUUCACAUUUUUGUCUUAUGUACCGAUAUGUCCCGAAAACACGUAUGUGUGUGUGUGUGUGUGUGUGUGUGUUUCUCCAUGCUCCUUCACACCUUGCUUUCAUUAGUAAUUUGGUUGUUAACAGAGCUUAUGUUCUGAUGUGUGUGUGUGUGUGUGUGUGUGUGUGUGGAGUGAGUUCGUGAAGUUUUUUACCUACAUGUAAAUCAGUUUGUGGUUGCAUAACAAAUCUAAAAUGAUACAGUAUUUUCAGUUUCAGGUUGAGUUUCGUCAGUAUCAGAUUUCUACCUU
rnacentral:lncRNA from 1 species